AUUGAACGCUGGCGGCAGGCUUAACACAUGCAAGUCGAGCGAGCGGCGGACGGGUGAGUAAUGUCUGGGAAAAUGCCUGAUGGAGGGGGAUAACUACUGGAAACGGUAGCUAAUACCGCAUACCAUCAGAUGAACCCAUAUGGGAUUAGCUAGUAGGUGGGGUAAAGGCUCACCUAGGCGACGAUCUCUAGCUGGGCUGAGAGGAUGAUCAGCCACACGGGGACGGAGACACGGCCCAGACUCCUACGGGAGGCAGCAGUGGGGAAUAUUGCACAAUGGGCGCAAGCCUGAUAGAGCCAUGCCGCGUGUAUGAAGAAGGCAUUAGGGUUGUAAAGUACUUUCCGCGGGGAGGCGUUACCGACAGAAGAAGCACCGGCUAACUCCGUGCCAGCCGCCGCGGUAAUAC
rnacentral:rRNA from 1 species